AGAGUUUGAUCAUGGCUCAGGACGAACGCUGGCGGCGUGCCUAAUACAUGCAAGUCGAACGGGGUCCAUUUGGUGGCAACACCAAGGAAGACCUAGUGGCGAACGGGUGCGUAACACGUGAGCAACCUACCCCGAAGACCGGGAUAACACCGGGAAACCGAUGCUAAUACCGGAUGUCCCCAUGGGCCCGCAUGAGCACAUGAGGAAAGGAUUCCGCUUUGGGUGGGGCUCGCGGCCUAUCAGCUUGUUGGUGCGGUAACGGCUCACCAUGGCAACGACGGGUAGCUGGUCUGAGAGGACGAUCAGCCACACUGGGACUGAGACACGGCCCAGACUCCUACGGGAGGCAGCAGUAGGGAAUCUUGCGCAAUGGGCGAAAGCCUGACGCAGCAACGCCGCGUGAGGGACGAAGGCUUUCUGAGUUGUAAACCUCUUUCAGCAGGGACGAUUGUGACGGUACCUGCAGAAGAAGCACCGGCCAACUACGUGCCAGCAGCCGCGGUGAUACGUAGGGUGCGAGCGUUGUCCGGAUUUAUUGGGCGUAAAGAGCUCGUAGGCGGUUCGAUAAGUCGGGUGUGAAAUCUCCAGGCUCAACCUGGAGUCGCCACUUGAUACUGUCGUGACUAGAGUCCGGUAGGGGACAUGGAAUUCCUGGUGUAGCGGUGAAAUGCGCAGAUAUCAGGAGGAACACCAGUAGCGAAGGCGGUGGUCUGGGCCGGCACUGACGCUGAGGAGCGAAAGCGUGGGGAGCGAACAGGAUUAGAUACCCCAGUAGUCC
rnacentral:rRNA from 1 species